rnacentral:lncRNA from 1 species
UUCAUAUUGUCAAGUACGGACUUUUUCUGAACUAUGUUUUCAAGGGAAUCUUGUUUUCCUCUCAUAUUCUCAGAAAAAUGCCAACAGACAAUUGCCUGCAGAAUGACAAAUGGCUCACAUGGCUUGUUGCUCCGCUUUGUUGCUUGGAUCUGAGUGCCCUGUGAUCUGAGGUUUAUGUCUCUUGGCUGCCUCCAUGUCUCACUGUGGUUUUAUAUCCCCUGGCUUUUUGGCAGAAACAAAACUUUUAGAUUUGUCCUCAACUGAAAAUGUUUCAGCUGUGUGUGCAGGCGUCUUCAUGCUAUAGAAGAAGGAAUGGAACUGUGAAUGGUGGGAAAGGCUGAAGGAAGUAAUGGAGACCACGAUGCAGAAGUAGGUGCUCUUGCAAAGCAGUCCCGGGACAGAUAAAGGAAGCAAAGGCAGAGAACCCCAACGCCUUGUAAGGACACCUGCGGCUCCAGGUCAGAGAUGCACCUGCUAGUCCUGCCUCUACAGGACCCAACCCAUCAGUUCCUAGCUUGUCCUUCUGGUGAGAAUUGAGCACACUAUACUGUGGACAUAAAGACAAGUAAGUUGUCAUUCAUGCCCUGGAUGAACAUGGAACCUAACUGGGAGGUAAAUACACACCUGAAUAAUUAAAAAAUAAGCUAUAAUUGAACAAAUGCUAGAGUAAAGUGCAUA